rnacentral:rRNA from 1 species
GAUGAACGCUGGCGGCGUGCUUAACACAUGCAAGUCGAACGAAGCACUUAAGAUUGAUUCUUCGGAUGACGUCUUUUGUGACUUAGUGGCGGACGGGUGAGUAACGCGUGGGUAACCUGCCUCACACAGGGGGAUAACAGUUAGAAAUGACUGCUAAUACCGCAUAACCCGAUAGGAUCGCAUGAUCCAGACGGAAAAGAUUUAUCGGUGUGAGAUGGACCCGCGUCUGAUUAGCUAGUUGGUGAGGUAACGGCCCACCAAGGCGACGAUCAGUAGCCGGCCUGAGAGGGUGAACGGCCACAUUGGGACUGAGACACGGCCCAAACUCCUACGGGAGGCAGCAGUGGGGAAUAUUGCACAAUGGGGGAAACCCUGAUGCAGCGACGCCGCGUGAGUGAAGAAGUAUUUCGGUAUGUAAAGCUCUAUCAGCAGGGAAGGAAAUGACGGUACCUGACUAAGAAGCCCCGGCUAACUACGUG